AUGGUAACUCGUGCUAAAUGUGGCCUCUUCCAGCCCGUUGACCGUCUUAAUCUCUCCGCGACUCACUCCACUCCCUCUCCUAUUCCGAAAACAUACCGGGGUGCACUCCAUGACCCGCACUGGCGUCGUGCUAUGACCGAGGAAUUUGAUGCUCUUGUCACUAACGGGACGUGGUCUCUUGUGCCACGUCCCCCUCGUGCUCAUGUUGUUUUAGGGAAGUGGAUCUUCAAACAUAAAUUCCACUCGGACGGCAGCCUUGCCCGGUACAAGGCCCGAUGGGUGGUACGAGGUUAUUCUCAACAGGGCAUUGAUUUUGAUGAGACAUUCAGCCCCGUUGUUAAGCCUGCGACGAUCCGCAUCGUUCUCAGCCUUGCGGUCUCU
rnacentral:rRNA from 1 species